ACCUCCUAUGUCGAUCGUAUAUCGAGUCUUGUGCGAGUAACCUCCAUACUUGAUUUGUGCUACCACUUGUUCCUACCAUAGGUAGGGUGUGAUGGAGAGUUGCGUACUGGCUUCUAUGCCGAUGGGCAUAACCAGAGAUAUAUGGAGGCGACUGAUGUAUCACUAAGAAGUGUGGUGCCUUGCAUCUACCCUACAACGAGGAUGGCCGCAAGCAAAGGGAGGCAUGUCUACGGUCUAUAGCGAACACGAUAUUGACUUAAGGAAGCAUAAUACUCUAUGUUGGUGACUUGAACGAAAUAAAUAUGUAUCAUGUUUGGAACUUAUUGUAUGGUGAACGAUAUUUUUCAGAGUAAAUAUGUAUCAUGUUCGAUAUUGUUCGGAACUGGAGAUUUCUCGAGUCGCUUCCGUCGUCAGCUUUUAGACAUUUUUGUCCAAUCCCAUGGACCUUCAUGGUCUUGUACCCAAAUUUUGUAUUUGCUUGGAAAUUCUGUAUCAAGUGAGUGUUCACCAA